AUUCAGCAAUGUUUUAAUACAGAACAGUCUGCCAUUCGCUGGUUGGAUGAUGGCUAAUGGGCAACGAUAUCAGACGGAAAAGUUCCAGGUUAAUGAUGCUUCGUGUUGACGACUAAAAAGUGAUCCCGGUUCUCGAUCCAAGCAACAACAAAUACAUAUUUCCACAACAAUUUUCCAUCCACACCGCCGCCGUCCGUAGCUCCACAAUCCUUCAUUGACGCAUAUAAGGGAGCAACUAACAACCAUCGUGUAUGAUUCUUCGCACCUUCACCACGGUAGACGUGGCUACGGAGCUAUGCUGAAUGCCGCGGCCAGAUCAACGGCCCCAGCCAGACGGACGAAGAGAAACUGGACGUACUCUUCUUCACUCCGCUGCUUCCCGCCACUUCGUCAAGCCGCACGGGAUGACACGAUCUCAACCGUGGCCACAAUAAUGUAGCGGGCACAGAUUUAUAUUCAUAUUUUAUUUUUAUAAUGCAAAGACGGUGUUAGAUUGGGACAAGCACUCCGAAGAAGAUGACAACGCCGAGCGGGACGACGAUGACAACGAUUUGUAGCAUUUGGCCUGUUCGGUGACGUCGUCAGCGAAUGUGGGGCCGAAGCGGUAGCUGCCGGUAGCUUCCAGAGAAGGCACGACUGCAGCAGCCGCAUUUCCGG